UUCUUUGUUUUGUUUAAAUGAUUCAUAGAAGUUUUCCAGUGCAGAUGAGGUGGUAUUGUUUCCUGUUAUUGAGGUGGGAUGUGAAAUGAUUUCUCUCUCUCUCUCUCUCUCUCUUUUUUAAUAAAUGUUUGUAAGUUUUUAAUGUGGAUUAAACUCCCUCAAUAUUUUUAUGGAGAAAAAAUUAAAGAAGUUAUUAACAUUGGAAAAUAGGCUAUCUCGAUUACACAGUUACUUUUUCCCAAUGGUUUUCUUAAUAUUUAUGUAUUAACAUCAUAAUGACUCAAUACAAUUUAUACAAUAUGGAGCCAUUAUUGUGAAAAAAAAGACCCAUUAAAAUAAUAUCUCCAUCCUACAGACAGACCCAAAACAUCCUAAUGGCUCAGGGGGAGCCAAAUGCGGGAUUACAUGAUAGUCCAGAAGCUAUGUCAUGGUCUACCAGGCCAGCUUUCAGGAGAAAUGAAUAUAUGUGACAUACUUGAUGGUCAUCAUCCUCCAAGAUGGCCCCAGGGAUGUCUGCUCCCCCGGCAUUCCUACACCAUGUAGUCCCUCCCACGUUGUAUGAAGAUCACUCAUUCCGUGGAAAGCCAGCUGCUAUGUCUUGAGGUCAUUCAUGCCACCUAUGAAGAGACACAUGCGGUGAAGAAGACAGACCUCUGGACAACAACCAGUGAGGAACUGACGCCUGCCAACAACCACAUGAGUGAGCUUUGAAACGGAUUUUCUACCCCCAGUCAAGGCUUGAUGUGACUGCAGCUGUUAGGACAGCUUGACUGCAGCCUAGGAGACCAUGAGUUAGAACCACCCAGCUACAGCACUUCCCAUUUCCUGUGCCUUAGAAACUGUGAGAGACAAUAAAUGUUUGUUGUUUCAAA